UUUCCGUAGGUGAACCUGCGAAAGGUUCAUUCAUAAUAAAGUGUUUUAUGGCACUUUUUAAAAAUCCAUAUCCACCUUGUGUGCAAUGUUAGAUCUCGUCAAUCUUGGCGAGAUUUUUAUACAUCAACUCAUUCUUUAACUAAUUUGUCUGAAAAAUAUUAUGAAUACUUAAUACAAAAUACAACUUUCAACAACGGAUCUCUUGGCUCUCGCCUCGAUGAGGAACGCAGC
rnacentral:misc_RNA from 1 species